CCUUAUAAUCGCUCUGUCUUCCUCGACAGAGGAGGUUUAUCUCUGCCAAGUGUGAACGACAACACCAGACGCUGGGGUCACUUGUAUCCCACACCUUCAUGUGGGUUGCAGAUUACCAGGACCCCCUGUGUCCCCGUUUCCCCCAGACACAGGCAGAGGACAAGAAGUGUGGUUGCCGUGUGCACAGCUACCCCUGGGCUCCUGUCUGUGGCUGAGCCCAGCCAGCUCAGCCAAUCUGCCCCCAGCAUCAUGGAACCACUGCUGUGUUCAAAGGCCAUGACGCAGGCCAGGGUACACAUCCAGACCCGAUUGGGUUCUCAAGAUACUGUCAAUGAACAACAGUCCUGUAAGGGUCUGCAUUCCCGAACACCCAAACUGUUGGCUCCACUUAGGAGUAGGCCCAGAGACAGUACAGCUCUACCAAUGCUAAAGCACCAAGUUCCCCUGAGGCCCAUCAGCCAAGGCCCCAUUUGCUCCAGGACCAUGCUGGACAGACCGUCCUGGGGCAGCCAACACGUUGCCCCCCCCACUACUACUAAGGGUGGCAGUGAGGAGAGCGGGUCCAGCAGCGGCCACAGCUCCAUCGAUCUGGAGGAUGAUGAGAGGGAUAUAGAGGAGAGAGCCUCAGAGGACAGCCAUCUGAAGUUUGUUGGCGACAGGCUUUUGCAGAAUUCAAAGGAAGUGAAGUCUACUGAGGCUGAUUUGGUUGAGGAGACAAGGCAGCCUUUUCAAUACCAGUCAAGGAUCAGUCAUAUUCCGCCAAUUCACCAAUCAGCACAGAACCUGGAUGGACAGCCUAUCAGUCACAAUCGUCUUGACACUAAAAAAGCUAGAAAUUCUCACUGUGAAGGCAAAGCCACCAAUGUGAAUUAUAUAAGAGAGUUUGUUGACAAUCAAACAUUUACAAAAUGUAACAAUGAGAAACAAAUUGACAUGCUGAGUCAUCAUAAAGACGCUGUGAACAAUGAAAUGUCAGUCACAUCAGACCCUAAAGACAAAAACCAUGUGGGAAGUAACACAGAACCUGGAACUGACAUUAGCGAUGUAAUUGUAUUUGAAAUGAGUAAUGACCAGACUGAUGGAACUGCACUCUCUGAGAGGAAUCACAAAAAUGAUCUGCAGCACAUUCAACCGGCAGAAGAAACCAUUAAAGAUUCCUGUGAUAAAGACACCCAAGUAGAUAACCCAGUCAUUCACAGUGCUGAGGAUGCAAGGUUUUACCUUCACAGUGGUGCUGUGGGGGAAACUCAGCGCCUUAAUGCAGCCCUAAACCUUUCUCUGUCCGAUAUUGGUGCCAAUGCAGAUGAGAUGAUGUUGAAAGCCCCAAACUCUGCCUGGAACCAAGAGAGAAGAACCAGCAAGAGCCGUGAACUAAGGGCAAAUAAUAAAACUAACAAAUCAAACUCCAACCUACAAGGACAUCAAGACCACAGUAUUUGGAAAAAAUCCAAAAAGAAUCUGAAGUACUCUCCUCUAUCCACACAAGUAGGGGAUAAAACCAGGAGAAGCCCUGAGCUAAUUAUCAGUGGAGCGGCCGCAGCCAGUAGAGGCACUUCAAAGCUUAAAUCAGUAAAAGGUGCUCAUCGUACCACUGACGCCCCGUCGCUACAAAAGAAGGUUAUCAAUCAUCCACAGAGCAAAAAGGCCAAUCCAGACAAACUGAACAGCAGUAGAGCUCAACCUCCAGUGAGGGAGCUGAAGAGCGCCCAGCCGCUGAAGAGACUCAGUGUAGCGGGGACGCCGAGGUCGAAAUCUGCUGUGGACUUCAUCACCUAUAAAGAUAUGUUUCAGCAGAUACAGAGCCACAACGAAGGCCCCGCCAUCUAUGAGAUGUUUGCAGGCCCUGUCUAUGAUAAUCUUAGGGUUUCUAGCUCCUGUGAGAAAACAACGGACAGACAAGUGCAGUCUGCCGCAUCUAAGAAGAUGCAACAGUCCUCUAAAGUCAAACACAGAGCCAUGAAACAGCCUCCGUCUAAGGUGAGGAGAAGCCCUGGGGAGAGCAUGCAGGUCUCAGUGAAAAGCAAAGCAAGACUUGCAUCUUCCAGAGUGACACCUCAACUCACACCCCUUUCAAGAAAGAGCUCUUAUAUUCCCAAACAGGAGACUGAAUUAGUUCACAAUAGUGCUCCAGAAAAGACUGAGGAUCAUAUAUUAUCCACCAUAGAGGAGGCUCAUUCAACACAUGGCUUUAAAACAUUCAAAUCUGAUGAGAAAACACAUACGACGCCAACAAUUACACCAUGUGCUGAAGAUUCUCAUCACAUGCUGAUGAAUAUGCAGGAUAUUAUUGUGGAUUCACCAAAAGGAAACCCGAACAGACCACCAGUUCCCGAGUCCGUGUUACAGCACAACACCCAACAGCCAAAGAUCUACACUUGGACAUCCUCCAGCAGCAGCAGCCACACUGUUAUGUCACCAAUUUACCAGAAGUUUCUAAAUGAAGUGGGAGAUGGGCCGCUCACAGAUGACCUGCUGCAAUGUCUGGCUGAGGAGUUGAUCUCGCUAGACGAGAGGGAUGUUUCCACAGGCCUGUGUCCUCAAAACCAGGAAUCAAGCAUUAAGGAGUCCAAGAGAGAUGAUGAUACUGGAUCAAUAGCAAAUGUGUUUCCCGAGGUAAAUUGUUGGUUAACGUUGUUGAAAGAUACAAACUUGACAAAAAAAAAGCAUCAUAUUAAGAAAAGGCAAUGAUUUGUUUUGAUUGAUUUGUUACAUAACGUAUGAAAACAUUUUCAGUGUCUAGUUAUUGAAUCAGGGACUGUCGUAGGAUGGCCUUUUUCGGUGAGAAAACAGGGGAGUGUUCUUCUCUUUCCAAUAUGUGGUUAAUUUUGAUGCAGAGACACACAUACUUGGGUGACUGGUGCUAAUGUGGGGUGUUUAGGC
rnacentral:lncRNA from 1 species